CGGAAGUGGCGCGCAUGUUCCGCGCCGACGAGAAAUUUCUCAUGGACUCUCACUGGCUCGCGGCGCCAAAAGAAGAUCGAGAGUGGAAGCUGCGCAUGCGCGCAAUAAGCGCCAGCAACAACCCUCUCUCCCUUUACUCCCUUCUCUGUUAAACUUUCUGACAAGGCAGAGACGGAAGGGGUAGCGGAAGGUUUGAGGCUGAUCCGGGAAGAGCCAGGAGAGCCCGUAGACCCUGGGGUGAUGGGGGCUUCUUCCUCCGCACUUUUAUCCUGAAUGAAUUGUGGGGAUGACAAAGGAAGGGUGGGAGCUGUCCAGAAAAGGCGGACGGAAGGCCAGCGGCUCGACCCGUCAGUUCUGGAUGAUGUUUCCAUCACUUGAAAAGACGUAACACCAGGCAUUAAAGGGGCAGGGACGCUACACUGCCAGAGAGGAGGCAAGGCAGCCCCAAGCCGGAAAACUUUUAUUUGCUGUACACUAAGAGGUCAUCUCAUGCUUUCACACCAGUCCACCGCCUGUGCUCCUGUGACUGCUUAGGCUCAGCUCUGGCUCUGCUGCUGUCGCUGCUGAUUGUUUUCCUCUUCUUCCCGGCCCUCGGGUGGGGUCAGGGGUGUCUCCUCCAGCCCUGAGGAGGAUGCCAGGAGCUCCCCGGAGGACGCUGACAAGCGGAAGACCACCGGGAUGCGGGCCAGGGUUGGGUUGGUCUCCUGCAGGCCCUGGAUCCACUUGGCCAGCGUGGCCUGGUCAUGAGCACCCGCCAUGCAUAUGGCGAAGACAGGGCCUUCCUCCACUGUCAGGAGAGACAGGCCCUCAGUUUGUGCAGUAGGGACUGGAGCAGCCCCCUCAAGCCCACAUCCCUUCCAGGCCAAGGAUGGGGGCUUUAAGCUCCCUUUGUCCUUUUCUGUGUUUCCAAGCCUUUGCACAUGCUCUGCCUAGCCUGCCUGUCCCAUGCUUCACCUAGGUGACACCUCCUGGCUCAAGUUUCCACCAGGAAAUCCUCCUGACUCCCACCUGAGGCUGAGUUGUGUGCUCCUCCCCAAGAAUGUAACUUGUCUGAUCCACCGCUGGCCUGAGGGAAGGGACUGGGCCUGUCCUGGUCACGCCCAGUAGCCAGCACAGAGGUGCUCCAUAAACGUUUGAAGGAGGAUGUUUGAGGGCUGACAGGUCUGGAGCCCCUGAGUGGGCCUUACCUACGAUGUGGGGCUCCGUGGGAUCCGUGGCAUCUGUGGAGUCUUUGGACAAAGGCAUCUGCAAGGAAAGUCGGAGUGGAAGCUUGCAGCCCCCACAGCCCCUACGGAGGAGCCCGGGAGAGAGAAAUGGGGAUUCCAGUGAAUUCAGGACCCCUCUUGGGUCUGUCUACUGGGCCUCCAACAAUCACUCGAGCCCACCGCCUUCUUGCUUCUAUCUAAUUGGGACAGCGAUCCCGCACUCCUGCUGCCGUGGGUAGUGGAGGAAGAUGCUGUGGAAGAUGUUGCGAGGCCGGAAGACCUCCUUGGGGAAGAUGUCAAGCAGCAGGUUGUAGAUAGCCAGGUCCCGCUCGACGCCGUACUCCCGCAUCUUGCGCAGGGCCAGGUAGAUGAAGUCGACGUGGCCCCGCUUGUGCACGUUGUACUGCGUAAAGUUCUGCACCGCCUGCACGAAGCUCGCCUUGUCCCGCACCCCAUCUGGCGCCUGCCUAAACAGCUCCUCAUGGGGUGCCAGGGCCUUGACCAGCCCCCUCUGGGGUUCGGGUGGGCGUGGGACCAGCGGCGAGUCAGGGUUGUGGGCAGCUGUGCUGCAGUGGAGGCCCCGCGGGGCCUGGGGCGUCACCUGCGGAUAGAGAACCACUGCUGGAAUGUGGGUCUCCCAGUGCCCCUGGGGGACUGCCGCACUGGCUCUUUGCUGAGAAAGGUGCCAGCAGGCCUCCCUAAGGGCCACUGAAGAAGUGUGCUGCGUGCGUUACAGACCCAUGAUCAGGCACCAUCACAAAGUGUGAGAGAGCAAUGGUAACGCCCCGACGGAGGCAAUGUUCACCACGAUGACAGACACACACCCUCUGACGCAGCAAUCCUGCAUCUGGUAUUUAAAUUGGAUAGCUCUAAAAGCACCUGCACCAAAUGACUUUUGUUCGUCUGCUGCGUCAGUGGAAAUGGCCCAAAUGUGCAUCGGCAAGGAAAUAAUUUAGCAAAUGGCCAAGCACCUGGACAAGGAGCACCUACCGCUGUAAGGCGCACUGAGGAGGUCUUGUGUGACCUGGAGUGAGCUCCAGGGUAUACCAUUAAAUGAAAAAAAAACAAGGUGUGAAACGGUGUGUACAGUAGCUUCCCAUUUGUGUAAAAAAAAGAAAACAACAACAGCUUAUAUAUAGUUGGUCCUCAUUAUUUGCGAAUUCCAUGUUUGCAAAGUUGCCUACUUGCUAAAAUUCAUUUAUACUCCCAAAGCCAAUACUCUUGGCACUUUCUGGCCAUUUGCAGACACGUGCAGGGGGGUGGAAAGUUGAGUUGCCCAGCGCCUAUAUUCCCAGCUGAGAUGGAACAAGGCAAUGCUUGGCCUUCUUGUAUCAGCCCCCAUGCUGUCAACAAGUGUCCUUUUAUUUUAUAUUACUUUGUUUUAUUUUUUUGUCUGUGCUGCAUGUCUUGCAGGAACUAGUUCCCCAACGAGGGAUCGAACUUGGGUUCCCGGCGGUGAAAGCACUGAGUCCUAACCGCUCGACCGCCAGGGAAUUCCCAACGAGUGUCCUUUUAGAGGUUUAUUUAUUAUUAUUUUAAAAUUUUUAUUUAUUUAUUUUUGGCUGUGUUGGGUCUUCGUUGCUGUGCGCGGGCUUUCUCUAGUUGUGGUGAGCGGGUGCUACCCUUCGUUGAGGUGCGCCGGCUUCUCAUUGCGGUGGCUUCUCUUGUUGCAGAGCACAGGCGCUAGGCAUGUGGGCUUCAGUAGUUGUGGCUCACAGGCUCUAGAAUGCAGACUCAGUAGUUGUGGCACACGGGCUUAGUUGCUCCGCAGCAUGUGGGAUCUUCCCAGACCAGGGCUUGAACCCGUGUCCCCUGCGUUGGCAGGUGGAUUCUCAACCACUGUGCCACCAGGAAAGUCCCUAGAGGUUUAUUUAGUGUAUGUUUUCUGCAUCUUUUUUGUUGAUUUGUGGUUGAAAAGGACCCCUAAGCGUGCCUAGUGUUCCUACGUGCAAGAAGGCCCUGCUGUUCCUUAGAGAAGAUACAUGUGGUAGGUAAGCUCAGGCAUGAGUUAUAGUGCUGUUGGCCGUGGGUUCAAUGUUAAUGAAUCAAAAAGCUAUAUUAAAUAGGAUGUCUUUAAACAGAAACACACAUACAACAAUGUUAUGACU